rnacentral:rRNA from 1 species
CCUACGGGGGGCAGCAGUGAGGAAUAUUGGUCAAUGGACGAGAGUCUGAACCAGCCAAGUAGCGUGAAGGAUGACUGCCCUAUGGGUUGUAAACUUCUUUUAUAUGGGAAUAAAAUGUUCCACGUGUGGGAUUUUGUAUGUACCAUAUGAAUAAGGAUCGGCUAACUCCGUGCCAGCAGCCGCGGUAAUACGGAGGAUCCGAGCGUUAUCCGGAUUUAUUGGGGUUAAAGGGAGCGUAGGUGGAUGGUUAAGUCAGUUGUGAAAGUUUGCGGCUCAACCGUAAAAUUGCAGUUGAAACUGGCAGUCUUGAGUACAGUAGAGGUGGGCGGAAUUCGUGGUGUAGCGGUGAAAUGCGUAGAUAUCACGAAGAACUCCGAUUGCGAAGGCAGUUCACUGGACUGCAACUGACACUGAGGCUCGAAAGUGUGGGUAUCAAACAGGAUUAGAUACCCGUGUAGUC